rnacentral:rRNA from 1 species
UACGGGGGGGGCAAGCGUUGUUCGGAAUUACUGGGCGUAAAGGGCGCGUAGGCGGUCUGUUAAGUGGGAAGUGAAAUCUCCAGGGCUCAACCCGGAAACUGCUUUCUAUACGGGCAGGCUGGAGGGAUGCAGAGGUGUGUGGAAUUCCUGGUGAAGCGGUGAAAUGCGUAGAUAUCAGGAGGAACACCCAUGGCGAAGGCAGCACACUGGGCAUCAUCUGACGCUGAGGCGCGAAAGCGUGGGUAGCAAACAGG